UGUUAGCAAAAGAUGACAACAACGACAUUAUCUCUUCGUUUUCAAUAAUAUCGGCAUUAAGUAUACUAAUGAUGGUAUAGGUAUAACAAUAAAACACUCGACAAUUUGAAGACAUUUCUUGGAUUUUAAAACAAACAGACAAAUGAAUUAAUUAGUGAUCAAACUAUUAAUAAUGGAUUUCAAACUAUUAAUAGAUUGUAUGAAAAUAAAAGCAUUGAAUAUAAAAACUAUUUGAAUAAAACACACGAAAAAAAAGAUAUGAUUAGAAACAUAAGUUAAAUAUUGCAAAUCUUGUCGUACGAAAUGAUAGUGAAGUACUUAAACAAGAGUUUGUGGACGCAAUACAACUGGCCUUUAGAGCACAGGUAGAUAGGGCUGACUUCAAGCACAAUGCAGUGGCAGAGACUGACAAAAUUAACCAAUGGAUCCGUAAAAAGACAAACAAUAAAAUACAAGAGAUUUUGAAAAAACUCGAUGC